rnacentral:rRNA from 1 species
CCUACGGGCGGCUGCAGUGAGGAAUAUUGGUCAAUGGACGAGAGUCUGAACCAGCCAAGUAGCGUGAAGGAUGACUGCCCUAUGGGUUGUAAACUUCUUUUAUAAAGGAAUAAAACGAGGCACGUGUGCCUUUUUGCAUGUACUUUAUGAAUAAGGAUCGGCUAACUCCGUGCCAGCAGCCGCGGUAAUACGGAGGAUCCGAGCGUUAUCCGGAUUUAUUGGGUUUAAAGGGAGCGUAGAUGGGUUGUUAAGUCAGUUGUGAAAGUUUGCGGCUCAACCGUAAAAUUGCAAUUGAUACUGGCAGUCUUGAGUACAGUUGAGGUAGGCGGAAUUCGUGGUGUAGCGGUGAAAUGCUUAGAGAUCACGAAGAACCCCGAUUGCGAAGGCAGCUUACUAAACUGUGACUGACAUUGAUGCUCGAAAGUGUGGGUAGCAAACAGGAUUAGAUACCCCUGUAGUC